GGUUAUGGCUCAGCGGUAGAGCGCUUGCCUCACACAUACGGGGACCUGGGUUCAAUCCUCAGCACCA
rnacentral:tRNA from 1 species